rnacentral:rRNA from 1 species
AUUGAACGCUGGCGGCAGGCCUAACACAUGCAAGUCGAGCGGAAGAAGGGUGCUUGCUCCUGGAUUCAGAGGCGGACGGGUGAGUAAUGCCUAGGAAUCUGCCUGGCUGUGGGGGAUAACGUCCGGAAACGGGCGCUAAUACUGCAUACGUCCUGAGGGAGAAAGUGGGGGAUCUUCGGACCUUAUGCUAUCAGAUGAGUCUAGGUCGGAUUAGCUAGUUGGUGGGGUAAAGGCCUACCAAGCCGACGAUCCGUAACUGGUCUGAGAGGAUGAUCAGUCACACUAGAACUGAGACACGGUCCUGACGCCUACGGGAGGCAGCAGUGGGGAAUAUGGGACAGUGGGCGGAAGCCUGAUCCAGCCAUGCCGCGUGUGUUAAGAAGGUCUUCGGAUUGUAAAGCACUUUAAGUUGGGAUGAAGGGCAGUAGGUUAAUACCUUGCUGUUUUGACGGUACCAACAGAAUAAGCACCGGCUAACUUCGUG